AACAUGAGGACAAACCCCUUCCCUGUGCGGGUGCCAGAGCAGGGGCACAGGCUGCCCAGAGAGGCUGUGGGGUCCCUUCCCUGGAGACAUUCACCCCCCGCCUGGACACGGCCCUGUGCCCCUGCUCUGGGGGUGCCUGCUCAUGCAGGGGGGUUGGGCAAGAUGAUCUCCAGCUGUCCCUUCCCACCCCUACCAUUCUGUGAUUCUAAUUGGGCUAACAAUCCUCUUACGCAAUCAGAAUGGGCAGAAAUCUGCUUUGUGUCAUUUUUGUUAUUCAUCGUAAAAGAUCUGCAAGUUCUGGAUGUAGAACUUCAGCAGUGCCUUUGACACAUUCUGUUGAAAACUCUUGGAGGACUAGGUAUCCAAUGGCAGUGAGCAACAGUUAAGAACAGAGUUUUUCAGGAUGCUUAGCUUCUCGUUGUCCCUGAAAUUAAGAAGUCUGUGGCAUAUUUGCAGCAAAUCUGUGACAGAGCUGACCUUUGUCCACAGAAACAGUCCAUAUUGCCAGCAGAGGUCCUCAAAAGGGAGGCUGAAUUUUGUGCCCAGUGCAUGUCCCAGGCAUAUUAUUGCAAGUAUAAUACUGCGCAUGUGAACAUGCUGGAGCCUUCUAGUUCAUACCUUACUUUUUAAAGCAUGUCUCGUUCCUAAAGCUGCUAUCCAAGCUGAGGCUGCUACCGCCCAGGCGGUGCUUGUAAAAGGGGAUGGCCAGAGAGAGAGGAGAGAGACAACGGAGGCGUCCCUGUGGCUGCAGCUGAUUGUCUCUCCCUGGGGUAUUUAUAAGCUGCAUACUGGUGGGCAGGGGUGGGCAGUUGGCUUGCUGUGACCUUGGGAACUGGGGAGCCUGAGCAGCAUUCCUGGGAGCCAUGUGAGCCGGACUGGCAGGCGCAGCUGCAGCCAAUGGGAGGAGACCAGCACUGGCUGCUCAGAUUGAGUUUCACUCCUGUUGCUUGAGAUUUUUUCCUCUUUCUCUCCCUGUUGUGCUUUUCGUCUUUGUUUAUGGGAUUGGACGGGCGGAUGUGCUGAUGGAGUCCUAGCAAGCAACAAACUUGCGUAGUGGAUUUGGGACUUCAGUGCUGAGCAACCACUUCUUGCAAUUGCCUACCACAAUUCCAGCCCCCUGACGUGACUGGGCUUUUAUGGCUCCAAGCCUUCUGAGUGCAAAACCCGCCCUCCUCUAUUAGGGCAUUUUAUGUUGUGUUCUCUUUUAUGCACUUCCUUUUAGCUCUCUUUAGAGGUUAGUGUAUGAGGCUUUUUAAUGCAUGAAAGAUGGGUCAGGACCAGACAAAGCAACAGAUAGAAAAAGGACUCCAUCUUUACCAGUCUAAUCAGACCGAAAAGGCCCUGCGAGUCUGGAUGAGGGUUUUGGAGAAGUCUGCGGAUCCUGCUGGCAGGUUUCGGGUGUUGGGUUGCCUUAUCACUGCUCAUGCAGAGAUGGGCAGAUACAAAGAUAUGCUGAAGUUUGCAGUGGUACAGAUUGACACAGCACGGGAGCUGGAAGACCCGGAUUACCUUACAGAGAGCUACCUGAACCUGGCUCGCAGCAAUGAGAAACUCUGUGAAUUCCAGAAAACAAUCUCUUACUGUAAGACGUGCCUGAACAUGCAGGGUACCACUGUGAGCCUACAGCUGAAUGGCCAGGUGAGCCUCAGCAUGGGCAAUGCCUUCUUAGGCCUCAGCAUUUUCCAGAAGGCUUUGGAAUGCUUUGAGAAAGCUUUACGCUACGCACACAACAAUGAUGACAAGAUGCUGGAGUGUCGAGUCUGCUGCAGCCUUGGGAACUUCUACGCCCAGAUAAAGGACUAUGAGAAAGCCUUGUUCUUCCCAUGUAAAGCAGCUGAGCUGGUGAAUGAUUAUGGAAAGGGCUGGAGCUUGAAGUACCGUGCAAUGAGCCAGUAUCACAUGGCAGUGGCCUAUCGGAAGCUGGGGCGCUUGGCAGAUGCCAUGGACUGCUGUGAGGAGUCCAUGAAGAUUGCCCUGCAGCAUGGUGACCGGCCUUUGCAAGCGCUGUGUCUGCUGUGCUUUGCAGAUAUCCAUCGCAGUCGCAAAGACAUGCAGACAGCCUUUCCUCGGUAUGAUUCCUCCAUGAGCAUCAUGACAGAGAUUGGAAACCGCCUGGGCCUGGUCCAGGUGCUGCUAGGAAUGACUAAGUGCUGGAUGAUCCAGAAGGAGCUGGACAAGGCACUGGAAAGCAUUGAAAAGGCACAGGAGCUGGCAGAGGGACUAGGGAACAAGCUUGGCCUGCUGAAGCUCCACUACCUUUGUGAAAGGAUCUAUCGCACAAAGGGGCAGCAGCAAGAAUUGCGUGACCAUGUAGUGAAGUUCCAUGAAUGCGUGGAGGAGAUGGAGCUGUACUGUGGCAUAUGUGGAGAGUCCAUUGGGGAGAAGAACAACCAGCUCCAGGCGUUGCCUUGCUCCCACUUCUUCCACUUGAAGUAAUGAGCUGAAAGUACUAAAGAUCUUUGUCAUGCUAUGAAGUCACAGGAAGGAACUGUUCAUGCCCAGAGUAGGACAGUCCUAUGCAUGCUGUUCCCCAGGUCUUUGUCCUGCUUACCUGUGCCCUGCGGGAUCCCAUUGCAGUGUCCUUGAAGGGUGCCUCCAGACCAACGGGACCCGGGGCUGCCCCAACUGCCGCCGCUUGUCGGUGAAGCCCGGCUACGUCUGACCGCGGCGGGGCCCG